GACGAGGGAUCCUAGCGUUGUUCGGAAUCAUUGGGCGUAAAGCGGAUGUAGGUGGCUUGGUAAGUCAGGUGUGAAAGCCCAGGGCUCAACCCUGGAAGUGCAUUUGAAACUGCUAAGCUUGAGUGCUAGAGAGGUUACUAGAAUACCUGGUGUAGUGGUGAAAUACGUAGAUAUCAGGUGGAAUACCGGAGGCGAAGGCGGGUAACUGGCUAGACACUGACACUCAAAUCCGAAAGCGUGGGGAUCAAACAGG
rnacentral:rRNA from 1 species